AGCAGUGUGUAAAUGCAAGCAAACAAUAGUAGUAAGAGAGUACGUAGAAAAACAUUCAGUCUUUUUUGGACUCUUCUAGUGCAUACUCAUGGCGUCAGUCAAGUUUUCAUCCAUGCACGUCUGGCUGUCAGACUCUGUUCUACAUAGAUGGAGAUAACGUGUGCAAAUGUAAAAGAUAAAAUAUACCUCUGUUUUAGUUAACGGGACUAAAACAUAGCUGUUACCAUGGAGAUCUGGGAGCUGGGGAUAAUGGAAAAAACCAUGUUUAGAUUCUCACUUAGAACUGUGAUGUAAAGAGACUUUGUUCCCUUGCUCAUUGUUUAAGUAAUAUUGAAUAAUUGCCUGAGAUGAGCUAAGCAAUCUGUUAACCAGUGGAAUGUGCAACAGUGAAUAAAACAAGUAAUUUUGCCUUUGAGACUCGCCCUGUUAACUAUACCACAGUGGCCACCAAUCCAUAAGAGAGAGAGAGAAUGUGUGUGUGUGGGUUGGCGGGGGAGGGGCCAAGUUCCCCUGCCCCACCCCCAGAAAUUACGAUUUAAGUCUGUUUUGGGGCCCUGGAAUCUGCAUUUUAGUUAGUCCCUUGUGGUGAUUCUAACAUAGGUGGUUCUCGGACCAUAAUUGAAGGACAUCUCUUUAUU
rnacentral:lncRNA from 10 species